GAGGUUUCUAGCUCAGUGGUAGGGUACCUGCCUGGCAUGGAGAAAGUCCCUGGUUCAACCCCUCAACAUCUCCAGGGGACCAAGACCA